rnacentral:tRNA from 1 species
GUCCCCGUAGCUCAACGGAUAGAGCACUGGCCUCCGGAGCCAGGGAUGCAGGUUCGAUUCCCGCCGGGGACG